rnacentral:misc_RNA from 1 species
GAUCUAUUGCAUUAACAUCAAGAAGCACAGAAAUUGCCUCAAGUCACCGACAUACCUCAUCAGGAAGAAAGCAAUGAAUCAUGUCCCAUUUCCAAUUCUGCCCAUCCCACAUUUGAGCAACUGUGAGUUGUUUGAUACAACUUGGGACUGGUUGAAUAGCGAAAUCACCAAGGGGACCAUCAUUCAUAAUCCAAGCCCAUAAGCUAUCCUCUUCAUUAAGCAGACGCCAACCAAGCUUUACAAGGAAAGCAGUAUUCAUAUGUCUACUGGAUCGAAUCGCCAAUCCUCUUCGAUCAAGCAGAAGACAAA